UGAGUAACCUGCCCUUGACUCUGGGAUAAGCCUGGGAAACCGGGUCUAAUACCGGAUAUGACUCCUCAUCGCAUGGUGGGGGGUGGAAAGCUUUAUUGUGGUUUUGGAUGGACUCGCGGCCUAUCAGCUUGUUGGUGAGGUAAUGGCUCACCAAGGCGACGACGGGUAGCCGGCCUGAGAGGGUGACCGGCCACACUGGGACUGAGACACGGCCCAGACCUCCGUACGGGAGGCAG
rnacentral:rRNA from 1 species